rnacentral:rRNA from 1 species
CGGACGGGUGAGUAAUGUCUGGGAAACUGCCUGAUGGAGGGGGAUAACUACUGGAAACGGUAGCUAAUACCGCAUAACGUCGCAAGACCAAGAGGGGACCGUUCGGGCCUCUUGCCACCGGAUGUGCCCAGAUGGGAUUAGCUAGUAGGUGGGGUAACGGCUCACCUAGGCGACGAUCCCUAGCUGGUCUGAGAGGAUGACCAGCCACACUGGAACUGAGACACGGUCCAG